GAUGAACGCUGGCGGUAUGCUUAACACAUGCAAGUCGAACGGACUCUUCGGAGUUAGUGGCGGACGGGUGAGUAACGCGUGAGAAUCUGGCUUUGGGUUCGGGACAACCACUGGAAACGGUGGCUAAUACCGGAUGUGCCGAGAGGUAAAAGAGAAAUUGCCUGAAGAUGAGCUCGCGUCUGAUUAGCUAGUUGGUGAGGUAAAGGCUCACCAAGGCAGCGAUCAGUAGCUGGUCUGAGAGGAUGACCAGCCACACUGGGACUGAGACACGGCCCAGACUCCUACUGGAGGCAGCAGUGGUGAAUUUUCCGCAAUGAGCGAAAGACUGACGGAGCAAUACCGCGUGAGGGAAGAAGGCUCUUGGGUUGUAAACCUCUUUCCUUAGGGAAGAACAAAAUGACGGUACCUAAGGAAUCAGCAUCGGCUAACUCCGUG
rnacentral:rRNA from 1 species